rnacentral:rRNA from 1 species
ACGGGUGAGUAAUGCCUAGGAAUCUGCCCGGUAGUGGGGGACAACGACUCGAAAGGGACGCUAAUACCGCAUACGUCCUACGGGAGAAAGUGGGGGAUCUUCGGACCUCACGCUAUCAGAUGAGCCUAGGUCGGAUUAGCUAGUUGGUGAGGUAAUGGCUCACCAAGGCGACGAUCCGUAACUGGUCUGAGAGGAUGAUCAGUCACACUGGAACUGAGACACGGUCCAGACUCCUACGGGAGGCAGCAGUGGGGAAUAUUGGACAAUGGGCGAAAGCCUGAUCCAGCCAUGCCGCGUGUGUGAAGAAGGUCUUCGGAUUGUAAAGCACUUUAAGUUGGGAGGAAGGGUUGUAGAUUAAUACUCUGCAAUUUUGACGUUACCGACAGAAUAAGCACCGGCUAACUCUGUGCCAGCAGCCGCGGUAAUACAGAGGGUGCAAGCGUUAAUCGGAAUUACUGGGCGUAAAGCGCGCGUAGGUGGUUUGUUAAGUUGAAUGUGAAAUCCCCGGGCUCAACCUGGGAACUGCAUCCAAAACUGGCAAGCUAGAGUAGGGCAGAGGGUGGUGGAAUUUCCUGUGUAGCGGUG